GGACCGGCCGGGCGGCCCUGGGAACACCGCUGGGGACGAGUGACCCGGGGGCGGAUCCUGCCGCUCACGGGGCGAGGUGCUGUUCUUCUCUGCGCUUCCUGCUCCCCGUUGUAAAGAAGGAAAUAUGGAGUUAACACACGUCUCGGGUUACUGUGAGCAUUAACCACAUAACCCGCUCAGAGAUCCGGGAGGGAAGAUGUGUCCCUGGCACUUUAAGGCUGCAGGUGAUGGACAGGAGGAGGGACUGGCUUCAAUCGAGAGGCCUCACAGGAGCCGGCGUCCUUUGUCUCGCCCCAAUUUCCUGAGGGACCACGUGGCGCCGCCUAGCGAGUUCUCGGUUCCUCCAGGGAACUAUUUUCCAGCGAAGAAAUGCAGACCCCCACCCAGAUGGAAGUUGGUGAUUACAUGCUGACCACAAACAUGUAGACCCCAGGCUGGUUGGAACCAGAAGGAGGAUGAUUACAAUUCCUGAAACAUUACCCUGUUACCUCACCACCAACCAAUCAGAAGAAAGUUCACGAGCUAAUCAUGCACCCUGCAAUGCUCACCUCAAAAGUUGUCUUUAAAAGACCUUCCCUGCAAGCCAUUGAGGAGUUUGGGUCUUUUGAGCACUAGCUGCCCAUUCUUCUUGUUUGGUGCCCUGCA